CCUACGGGAGGCAGCAGUAGGGAAUAUUGCUCAAUGGGGGAAACCCUGAAGCAGCAACGCCGCGUGGAGGAUGAAGGUUUUCGGAUUGUAAACUCCUUUUGUUAGAGAAGAUAAUGACGGUAUCUAACGAAUAAGCACCGGCUAACUCCGUGCCAGCAGCCGCGGUAAUACGGAGGGUGCAAGCGUUACUCGGAAUCGCUGGGCGUAAAGAGCGCGUAGGCGGGAUAGCAAGUCAGAUGUGAAAUCCUAUGGCUUAACCAUAGAACUGCAUUUGAAACUGUUAUUCUAGAGUAUGGGAGAGGUAGGUGGAAUUCUUGGUGUAGGGGUAAAAUGCGUAGAGAUCAAGAGGAAUACUCAUUGCGAAGGCGACCUGCUAGAACAUAACUGACGCUGAUGCGCGAAAGCGUGGGGAGCAAACAGGAUUAGAUACCCCGGUAGUC
rnacentral:rRNA from 1 species